rnacentral:rRNA from 1 species
UCACUGGCGAGGUUGAGUGUCAUGAGACACGUAGCCGCAGUGAAAGCGAGCCUGAAGAGGGCGCACAGUCAGUGGGGGUAGACGCGAAACCAAGUGAUCUACACUUGGCCAGGAUGAAGUCCCGGUAACACGGGAUGGAGGUCCGCCCCAAUAAGCGUUGAAAAGCUUCUGGAUGAGCCGAGUGUAGGAGUGAAAGGCCAAUCAAACUUGGAGAUAGCUCGUACUCCCCGAAAGGCAUUUAGGUGCCGCGUCGGAUGGUCACCGUGAGAGGUAGAGCGACCGAUAGGACAAGAGGGCUUCACCGCCUAUCGAGUCCUGACGAACUCCGAAUGCUCACGGUCUGCAGUCCGGCAGUAAGGGGGCGGGUGCUAAGGUCCGUCCCCGAGAGGAGAAGAAUCCAGACCGCCGUCUAAGGUCCCGGAGUUCUGCCUGAGUUAGU